GGUGACUUCAGGCUGAAAACAUCCUGCUGGCUGAACUUUGGUGCUGCUUUUAGAUACCACUGAUCAAUAAUGAACCUAGGACAUGAAGGCUAAGUACUCAGCUCAAAGGCAACACUAGUAAGGACAGGAGAGCUCUGGAUCUGAGAGGAGGAGACUGGGGAAGACUGCUCUUGGAGGAUCAGGUCCAAACAAUCAUCCAAGUGAAUCAGAAGAGGUUGAUUCAUGGUCUGUCCCUUCACAUGGGCUACCAGGCUGUUGUUCCACCUGCUCCCACAGUGCGGACUGGAGGAGACCUUAAAUAACCUCUGAUUACCGACUCCAGCGACCCCUGCAGCUUAACCAGCAGUUGAAGAAUUCAGAGGGUAGCCUCUCGUUCAUCUGUCAGCUCUGACCUUUGAGUAUGACUAGGCCCCUGCUUGGAGUGCUUGCUGCUUGGUUAGCUCAGCUGUUGGAUGAGCAACUGACGAGUCUAUCUGAGUCCAUAUUGUAACACUGCCUCCCGGGCAGUUUGAACAGCGGGUCUGGGAAUCAGAACUCCUGGAUUCCUACUGGAGCUCUGGGAGGCAGGAUGCCCCAGUGGUCAUGGCAUUUGCCUAGGAUUUGUGUGUUCAAUUCCCAGCUCUGCUACAGACUUCCUGUGUGACUUUGGGCAAGUCACUUAGCCUCUCUGUGCCUCAGUUCCCCAUCUGUAACAUGGGGAUCAUGGCAUUGCUUUGCCUCACAGGGGUGCUGUGAGGAUAAACACACUGAAGAUUGUAAGGUUCUCAGAUGCUACAGUAAUAGGGGCCAUAUAAGUACCUAAGGCAGGUAUACAGGGUGGACGAUUUAGCAACAUUGCAAUGUCUUCUUUGUUUCAGUCACCCUACACACACAUAAGCAGUGUCAUGGGGUCCCAGUGACAAUACUCCUGGGCAGGAUUCAGUGCAUAAAGAACAGUAAAUUCUUGUCUGCAUUAAAACAGCAAGAGCAAAGGCAACAGAAGGGCACCUUUUUACUAUGAAAAUGAUGCAUACAUUGGUCUCGCGCUAUAUGGUACAA